rnacentral:rRNA from 1 species
UGGACGAAAGUCUGAUGGAGCAACGCCGCGUGAGUGAAGAAGGAUUUCGGUUCGUAAAACUCUGUUGCAAGGGAAGAACAAGUAGCGUAGUAACUGGCGCUACCUUGACGGUACCUUGUUAGAAAGCCACGGCUAACUACGUGCCAGCAGCCGCGGUAAUACGUAGGUGGCAAGCGUUGUCCGGAAUUAUUGGGCGUAAAGCGCGCGCAGGUGGUUCCUUAAGUCUGAUGUGAAAGCCCCCGGCUCAACCGGGGAGGGUCAUUGGAAACUGGGGAACUUGAGUGCAGAAGAGGAUAGUGGAAUUCCAAGUGUAGCGGUGAAAUGCGUAGAGAUUUGGAGGAACACCAGUGGCGAAGGCGACUGUCUGGUCUGUAACUGACACUGAGGCGCGAAAGCGUGGGGAGCAAACAGGAUUAGAUACCCUGGUAGUCCACGCCGUAAACGAUGAGUGCUAAGUGUUGGGGGGUUUCCGCCCCUCAGUGCUGCAGCUAACGCAUUAAGCACUCCGCCUGGGGAGUA